CCGGGUGAGUAACACGUGACUAACCUACCCUACAGUGGGGGAUAACCUCGGGAAACCGGGGCUAAUACCGCAUAACAUCACGAGGUGAAAUUCUUUGUGAUCAAAGGAGCAAUUCGCUGAAGGAGGGGGUCGCGGCUGAUUAGCUAGUUGGUGAGGUAACGGCCCACCAAGGCGACGAUCGGUAGCUGGUCUGAGAGGAUGGUCAGCCACACUGGGACUGAGACACGGCCCAG
rnacentral:rRNA from 1 species